UCAGAACACCACACCCCAAUCAUAAAUAUUCCACUUGCAUUAUAUAAGGAAGAGUGCAUAUAUUGCUAUAUCUAUGGAAGAAGAAGAAGAAGAAGAAGAAGUAAACAUUGGCAAGGUUGGCUACGCAGGAGGGAUGACAUCGGCGUUCACGUCAAUCUCAGAGACCUGGCUGUUGAUGUCGAUGUCAUUUCUCCCGCAUAGGAAACCUUUACAAAUGUCGUAUGCCAGUUUCAUUUCGUACAAAAUAAAUUAUGAAACCCGAAAGUUAUCUAAAAGGUGAGAUCGGAAAUAGAGUUGUUUGCACUCAAAUUGGGCAUUUGAUUUGACCACACUCAAAACCCUCUUAUUUUUCUUUAUUUCAGUUUACGUUUCUGUCCCUUUAGUUUAAGUCCAUUUCCUUUCCAUGUUCUUAGUUUUAGCCUUUCACCUCUUAAGUUUGUCUGUAUAAUCAAAUAGUUACAAGAAGCUUCUAAAAAUGAAAGUGAGGAAGAUUUUAUCUUCAAGGUGGAAGACCAAACUUCAAAGGGAAGGGGAAUAAAUCUUAAUUGUCUACUUUGAAUUGAAUAAUCGGCUCCAUUUAGUUAGAUGGAAAUAGCAAGAAAGGAAAAGAAAUAAAAAAAAAAAAAGUGAAGUGAAAGAAAAAAAAAAAGUAAUUUUCUAGUAUGUAUUUGGUUAGGAUGAAAAUUUAUUCAAUAAAAUGGUAGGAAAAUAUCUUUGAAUACUUAAAUUACCCUUAUUUUAUAAAAUAAUAAAGAAUUAGUAAUAAAAUAUAUUAAAAAAUAAUAAAAUUUUCAAUUAAUUUGGACCUUUUGAAUUACCAUUACUCAUAUAUGUUGAAAAACAACUAAGAAUGAAAGUCAAGUUAAUUAAAAAUUUAUCAAUGAUAAAAUUGUUAGUGGACUCCAAUUUUUUGAAACCUAGUAAAAAAUUAUUAUUGUUUCCAAAUAUAAAAUGAAGUUGUUGAAUAAAAUAAUAUUAAUGAAGUUGUUGGGCAAAAUAGAAAUACUAAAUAAAAAAACAUGCUUUCACGAGAAAAUUUUCCCGUGUUUUGUGAAGGAAACAUUUUGAAAAAAAUAAAGUGGUACAAGAAUUCUAAUUUUUUAAAAUUUUUCCUUUUCUAUCUAACUAAAUUAUCUCGAAAAAAAUAAAUAAAUAAAUAAAUGGAUUGUGUCCUCAUAAAGGUAAGAGAAUGUCAAUAUUGCUCUCCACACUUAUUUAUUUAUUAGUUUUUUUUCACGAACCACAGUGGUCAAUGAUUAAAAGAAAUAGGUUCGGCCUUGGAACCUCUCAUUAAUAAAAUAAACGAUUCACUUCAAAAAUCAUGACAGGUCCCUCACAAAAAUCAAAAGGCAAUAUCAAGAUAAAAGAUAAUUAUAAAAAAAAUCAAAAGGCAAUAUCAAGAUAAAAGAUAAUUAUAAAAAAAAUCAAAAGGCAAUAUCAAGGUGAAAGAUAAUUAUAAGACAUUGAUACGACUAUUUAAUUGAAAAAAAUAAUUCAUAACAAUAUAUUAAUAUAUUUAAAAGAAAGAUUAAUUAAAACGACACUGCUUAAAGUUUGUCAUAUUAACAUACGUAUAUAAGUUAGUCCUUUUUUUUAAUAAUAAAACUUCUUGAAAUUUGAUAAAGUUAAGAAAAUACCCCCUAACACCAUCUGUACCCCCCCAACACAUAAUAAAAUGACUAAUUUACCCUUUAACUUGUCAAUUAAAUCAUUAAGAUUUGAAAUUACAAAGUUAACAUUCUAACUAAUUUUAAUUAACCAAACUUGUCACAUCACUACAACCGUAUACAUAUAUGUGUGUAUAUAUAUAUUAUCUCCUCUUUAUAUAUAUAGAUAUAUAUUAAUGAGAGAAGCAGCGGGUGGUUGGCUGGUUGCCCCUCUACUGGCGGCACACCCCCAUAGCUACCAUCACCAUACCACCAUAGCCACCAUCACCAUACCACCACCUCCACCAAUUCCUCUCUCUCUACCCUCUCAUCUUCACAGCGUCGCCACAACCACAACCACCACAUCACAGCCCCACCACCGCCACCUCACAUCCCCGCCACCACCAUUUCACAGCCCCGCCACCACUCCACAGCCCUGCCACACCCGCCGCCGCCACCUCAUCACAACCCCGCCACCACCACAUCGCAGCCCCGCCACCACUCCACAACCCUGCCACACCUGCCACCACCACUUUACAACCUCGCCACCACCACCACCACCAUCCCCACUCCACAACCCCACCACACCCAACCCCACCACCACUUCGAAGACUCAAACUUUACGUUCACAGUACCACCACACCCACCACCAUCAUCGAUUACGAAUUUGCAGAAGCCCUAACCGAAUUAAGGUUUUAGUUCCCCAAAUGCAACACCAACCAGUCUGAUCAAUUCAUCGGGAUUCGAUUGUGUACCAAUUCAGGAGGAUUGGUGAAGAGCUUGACGAAGAUGGAUUGGUUUGUGUAUAGACAAGAUUGCUUGGACUACGCAGAAGAAGAUUGGUAAAAGCAAAAAAAAUUUGGGUUUUUUUUGGAGCAAAGGGUAAAGAGAGAAACCUAUUACUCCGUAUUUUAAAAGGGUAAUUAUUUCGUAUAAUUUUUUUAAUAAUUUAGAUUUAUAAUUGAUAUAUUAUUGAAGGACAAUCUUGUCUUUUCACAAA